AUUGAACGCUGGCGGCAUGCUUUACACAUGCAAGUCGAACGGCAGCGCGGGCUUCGGCCUGGCGGCGAGUGGCGAACGGGUGAGUAAUGCAUCGGAACGUGCCCAGUAGUGGGGGAUAGCCCGGCGAAAGCCGGAUUAAUACCGCAUACGACCUGAGGGUGAAAGCGGGGGACCGAAAGGCCUCGCGCUAUUGGAGCGGCCGAUGUCGGAUUAGCUAGUUGGUGGGGUAAAGGCUUACCAAGGCGACGAUCCGUAGCUGGUCUGAGAGGACGACCAGCCACACUGGGACUGAGACACGGCCCAGACUCCUACGGGAGGCGGCAGUGGGGAAUUUUGGACAAUGGGGGCAACCCUGAUCCAGCCAUGCCGCGUGCGAGAAGAAGGCCUUCGGGUUGUAAACCGCUUUUGUUCGGGAAGAAAUCCUCUGGGCUAAUACCCCGGGGGGAUGACGGUACCGGAAGAAUAAGCACCGGCUAACUACGUG
rnacentral:rRNA from 1 species